rnacentral:rRNA from 1 species
GCGCGAAAACUUUACAAUGCAGGAAACUGUGAUAAGGGAACCCCGAGUGCCUGUAUGGACAGGCUGUUCAGGUGCGCAAAAAACACCUGGAGAAAGGGCCGGGCAAGAUCGGUGCCAGCCGCCGCGGUAAUACCGGCGGCUCGAGUGGUGGCCACUAUUACUGGGCUUAAAGCGUCCGUAGCUGGGUAGUUAAGUCUCUGGGGAAAUCUUCCGGCUCAACCGGAAGGCGUCUCAGGGAUACUGGUUACCUUGGGAUCGGGAGAGGUGAGAGGUACUCUGGGGGUAGGAGUGAAAUCCUGUUAUCCUCAGGGGACCACCUGUGGCGAAGGCGUCUCACCAGAACGACUCCGACAGUGAGGGACGAAAGCUGGGGGA